GAUACAGAACCUAUUCCCCCACCCCUCAACCCAAAAUAAUGACAAAAUUAACUUGGUAAUCGUUUCACUGGACAUGCAGUUUCUAAUCAAAUCAGCGAAUUAAGUCAAUAAUUGCAGUUUCCAACACUAAACUUCGACUGAACCUUGCAAUAUCCAACUUGAGCUAAUUUUAAAUCUAUUCUGGAAACCUAGAAAUAAUCAGCAAUUAAAGGAAGAAAAACAAAAACAAAAUCCUCCUUUCCACAAAGUUGCUAAUCGUAUGCAGCUAA
rnacentral:lncRNA from 1 species